rnacentral:lncRNA from 1 species
ACUUUCAUUCCAUGAACUAUUGAGAUACUGGACUAAAUUUAGACAAUGCUUCCUGUUUCCUGAUGGGGUCUUACCUCAUUUGUGAGAUUCUCGAGAGCAGAGACUGUCUGUUUGCAUUUCUUUGUUAGCCCCAGCAUCUAGCCCAGUGCCCGGUACACAGUAGGCACUUAAUGUUUAUUGAAUGAUUGACUAAACGCUCCUUUGUGAAAACGAAAACUUAUUUGGCGCAUCCAGCUAGCAGAAGAGAAAAAGCUCCAUCAAAUGGCACACACACACAAUUCCACAAGCAUCCAUAACUCCCACCUCUUUGAUAAAAGAAGAGAAGAAGACUUUCAUCAUUUGUUCUCCUGGACUAAAAUUGUUUGAUGCAAUUAAUUUGUGCAGAGGGUUAUAUAAAAGACCACCAGAAACUAACAAUCACUGGGAAAAUGAGCUCUGCAGGGAAGCCAGCAUAAGAUCCGGUAAACACAACACAGGGCAAGUAGUGCCCUGCCCAGAGUUGCUCCAGGGCACCUGAAGCCUGUUCAGUACUUUGCCUCCCACCCCGGGAGUGGGGGCUCAGAGUAUUCUUAUGGGGAAGUUGUGAGGGAUACCUGAAGAGUACAGUGCUUUGACUAAAGUCAAAAGUCUGUCGACCACAGAGUGCUCUUGUUAGAUAUCUCCCAAAGGGUAAGAAACCAGCUACACUCUGAGCACAGGCAUACCAGGAAAGAAAGGCAUUGGCAGGAACCAGAAAAUCAAGGUCAGGACCAGACCUGAUGAUGCUAUCUAAGAACAUAGAAGGGAACGAAGUCUGAUCUUGACAGAAAGUCUCAAAUUAGGAACCAAAGCUGGAGAAAUGAGCAAACAGAAGACACCAAAUACUAUGAAGAAAUAAGAUGGGCCAAAAUUUGUCCAAGAGGUAAAUUCUUAAGAAAAAAAUAAAAUCUUCAGAAUAAAUACA